rnacentral:rRNA from 1 species
GAUGAACGCUGGCGGCGUGCCUAAUACAUGCCAGUCGAGCGAACAGACGAGGAGCUUGCUCCUCUGACGUUAGCGGCGGACGGGUGAGUAACACGUGGAUAACCUACCUAUAAGACUGGGAUAACUUCGGGAAACCGGAGCUAAUACCGGAUAAUAUAUUGAACCGCAUGGUUCAAUAGUGAAAGACGGUUUUGCUGUCACUUAUAGAUGGAUCCGCGCCGCAUUAGCUAGUUGGUAAGGUAACGGCUUACCAAGGCAACGAUGCGUAGCCGACCUGAGAGGGUGAUCGGCCACACUGGAACUGAGACACGGUCCAGACCCCUACGGGAGGCAGCAGUAGGGAAUCUUCCGAAAUGGGCGAAAGCCUGACGGAGCAACGCCGCGUGAGUGAUGAAGGUCUUCGGAUCGUAAAACUCUGUUAUUAGGGAAGAACAAAUGUGUAAGUAACUAUGCACGUCUUGACGGUACCUAAGCAGAAAGCCACGGCUAACUACGU